GCGCAACGAAACCGACCCCAAAUCGAAUCCACCGCCGCGGCGCCGCUCCCCCCUUCGGCCGCCCGCCCUAGCAACUCCUCCGGCGGCUGGCGAGCGAGCAGAGAUGAACGCCGCUGCUCCCGCCGUCCCGCCUCCCCUCUCAGCCUCCUACUCCACCUCAAUCUGCCGGCGAGGAAUUUCGGAUUCCAGCAACAAGGGGCGCGUCGGUGAUCUUCGGCGCGUGGCUGCGACAGAGCUCGACGCGCCCAGGCGGUUGAUCUGGCCGGGUGUCCAAGGCCGAUGGCGGCUUCAAAGGAUCGACAACGCUGCCACGGGUAGAGAUCGACGGCAGUAGGCCUGAUCUGUCGCCCCUCCAGUGGAUUCGUCGCUCCUCUUCCACGGCCACCAAUGGCGCAAGCCCCUUUCCUCGUCCAACGCUCGCUCAGGGUGCUCUGUUCCUCAGCCGGUGAGCCCCCGUCUCUUCGACGGCAGCGGCACAGGCCGCACCUUGAGCUUCACAUCUCUUCCACGACAAGCGGCACAAGCAACAUGUUUUCUAGGGUUUUGUUUCCCCGCCUCCUUUCUUCGCAGUGGCACAUCAACGGCAUUGCCAACAACUUGCCAGGUGCAUUCUUCCCUAUAAAUCUAUUUGUCUCACUGCCAACAUAUCUGCAUAAGCUGCAUCCAAAUUAAGCAGUACCAGUCCCAAAAUAAUUACUCUGGCCAGAGAAAGAAGCCAGUGUUCAGCGUGCUCUGUUCGAUCUAAUACAGUCUGGUAGAUUUUGAAAGAAAGGAAUUGCAGAUUUUAUUUGGACAAAGAGAUGAAGCCAGAAAGGCCAUGGCGACAACUCGUUCCACAUCCACAACUCUGGCCGCCAUGCCCAUAGUAUCUUCUACAUGCAGGUGGUCUGUGUUCACCUCUAGCCCUGUGUGUGUGCGCGCGUGUGCGUGUGCGGAACUAGGAUUCGAUUCGGUAUAACACCAUCACCGAUGCAGACGAUAAGGGGUUCAUCGCACCAGGCACCUUGGCGUUGCUUCCGUGAGAUGGUGGCCGCGGCUACAGAAACAGCUACGACCUGAGAGUCAGUGGUAGAAGCUGCAGACAACCAUCGCUGGCGAGGCACAAGAGGUUUCCACGGUCAGAUCUACAUUGAGGCGAGGCCAUGUCAAAGAAAACACCACUAGUUAUGUGUUUGCAGCCACCUCUGCUACAUUUUGUUGUAUCAUAUUUGAGGUUCAGUUUCAUGCUGGUUGCAAUUUCUUACGGAUUGUUGUAUUUUGUUGUAGGUAGUAAGAUCAUAAGAUACUAAUGGGCUCCCUGUAAUCCCAAAGUGCACUGGCCAGUGGAUAGAUAUUUUUUACAAAAUCUUCUAGAGGCGCUUAAUUUUCUAUAUCGAAAACGACUUCUGGUUCCAUCCAACCUGUAUGGGAAUGAUCAUUGAGUAGGCCAAAAAGUUAGAUAAUUUCCUGUGCUCAGAUUGUGCUAAAGAAAACGACGCAAAGAGACCUACAAAUUCAUACCAGAGUUCACCAAGUUCUCAUUCUAAG